GCCCCGGAGUGGCACGAUGGCACCGGAGCCCCGAGUUUCCGGAGCCCACCACGCCGCCCGCGGGCGGGGACCGGCGCCGCAGCCUGUGCGAGGCUGCUGAGGGGUCGUGCGGUCCCGGACGCCUGCUCGGCGCUGACGCCCUGGCCUGGGUUCUCAGAAGCACGUCCGACGUCUGGAGGAUUCCUCCGUGUCUGGCUUCCCUUCCCGGCGGACGUGCAUUCGAGAUGCCAAAGUCUGAUGGCCACACGACUCGGUGUCCGCCAGGAUGACCCAGCCUUCCAGAGCCUGCUUCUUCGCCCGCGCGCGCGGGGCCUCCUGGGCGCAAGGUGCCGGGUGGCGUUCCACGCCAAGGAGAACUGCCGGUUCGUUCCUUGAGACCCAAGGCUUUGGCCUGCAGGGGCUGGGCGACCCUGUGCUAUCGUGGUUAUUAGGCUGACCAAAAUAAAAAGUACCAAGUUUCAAGAAAAAGUUAAGAACUCUGCUGGGAUCAGAUCAAGAAUCCCAGCUGUACAGUUCUUCCAGAGACUUCAGAGUUCCACGUGUCUGCUGUGCCGUGGAGCCUCCACAGAGCUCCUGCCUCAAUGGCAUGGGAUCUCGCGGCUCCUGGAAGCACCUACUCCAUGAUGGCCCGGUACAGAGCGGGCUCAAUGUAAUCUUCC